AGCGAACGCUGGCGGCGUGCCUAACACAUGCAAGUCGAGCGAGAAAGGGGUGGCAACACCCUGAGUAAAGCGGCGAACGGGUGAGUAACGCGUGGGCAAUCUACCUUCCAGUCUGGGAUAACCUUCCGAAAGGAGGGCUAAUACCGGAUGAUGUCCUGUUGGGGCAUCCUGAGGGGAGCAAAGGGGGCGACCCGCAAGGGCGUCUCGCUGGAGGAGGAGCCUGCGUCCGAUUAGUCAGUUGGUGGGGUAACGGGCUCACCAAGGCGACGAUCGGUAGCCGGCCUGAGAGGGUGACCGGCCACACUGGGACUGAGACACGGCCCAGAC
rnacentral:rRNA from 1 species